CUGUCUGAACUGACCCUUUACCGAAUGUUUUUGUUCCUAAAAGAAUGGCGCGCUUAUGGUCCUGCAGAGCGCCAGAUACAAUCUCAGAUGCCGACGCAGACCCGCCAUUAAUUAAAACCACGAUAGGUAGCCCAUCAGCAAUAUCGCCUGACGUGGCGUUAUCGCGCUUGGUAUCACUGGCGUUACGGCCGCGUGUUGAUACAAUUUCGCCCUUGUCCAAAAAGGCAUCGGAAACCGCGAUGGCCUGAUCUAAUAAUCCACCAGGGUUAUUACGA
rnacentral:ncRNA from 1 species